ensembl:snRNA U6 U6 spliceosomal RNA
GUGCAUGCUUCGGCAGCACAUAUACUAAAAUUGGAACGGUACAGAGAAGAUUAGCAUGGCCCCUGCGCAAGGAUGAUAUCCAAACCAUAGGAAAAAGAAAGCUUAAU